AGCGAACGCUGGCGGCAGGCCUAACACAUGCAAGUCGAACGGACCCUUCGGGGUUAGUGGCGGACGGGUGAGUAACACGUGGGAACGUGCCUUUAGGUUCGGAAUAGCUCCUGGAAACGGGUGGUAAUGCCGAAUGUGCCCUUCGGGGGAAAGAUUUAUCGCCUUUAGAGCGGCCCGCGUCUGAUUAGCUAGUUGGUGAGGUAACGGCUCACCAAGGCGACGAUCAGUAGCUGGUCUGAGAGGACGACCAGCCACAUUGGGACUGAGACACGGCCCAAACUCCUACGGGAGGCAGCAGUGGGGAAUCUUGCGCAAUGGGCGAAAGCCUGACGCAGCCAUGCCGCGUGGAUGAUGAAGGUCUUAGGAUUGUAAAAUCCUUUCACCGGUGAAGAUAAUGACUGUAGCCGGAGAAGAAGCCCCGGCUAACUUCGUGCCAGCCGCCGCGGUAAAAC
rnacentral:rRNA from 1 species